rnacentral:rRNA from 1 species
AAUUAGCCAGGCCGCACCUUCCGGUACGCCUACUUUGUUACGACUUACUCCAGGUUAUCCCCGCAGGUGACGGGCGAUGUGUACGCAAUUUAGAGCUAAAUUCAUAAAAUUUAUCUCCUCUCUAUUACUAUCAAGUCCUAUUUCAACCUUUUUUUCAAAAAAGAAUUCAUUCCUAAAAAUAUUUAUUGUUUAUUGAACAUUGUAGCCCAUCCUCCCCCUUUCAUUGGCUCCAUCUCGAUCUGACAUCUAACAAUUUAUAGUAUUUCCGCCUUCUAACUCACAAUGAAAACUUAAUGACGAUGAUAUAGAGGCUGUCUUAUUAACAAGAAAAGGUCAGGUAUAAUGUGGAUCAUCAUUUUAUUAAGACAAACUCCCCUGAUCAGAAUUAAAUCACCGCCAAGUUCUUUGUUUCUCAAAGAUUUCCUCAUUACUCUACCAGCAUUAACUUUUUAACUAAGGAAUAACUGGGUAUCAAAACCAGGUCUUCCCCCUUAUCUUUACAGUUUCUCCACAUUAAACUAUACAGAAAAAAAUCAAAUCCACACUGUUCUUUCUUCCUUCUAAUCUUUUUAUAAAGGAUCUCUGUGUUAAGCUACUUGUUAUAUUGAGAAUACCGUCCGUUUAACCGCGGCUGCUGGCACGGUAUCUUCGCCAGUAUCUUUAUUAUAUAAUUUAAUCACCCUUCCAGGCAAAGUUAAAUAUUUAUUACUGUAGAUGUGACGCUACUUAAUAGGUCUACUCCUUUGAAAUAAAAUAGUAACACAUCCGAUACAUAAAAGAAAUUAUUUUUAAUUGACUCCUUUACUUUCUCGGGUCCUCACCGGAACACUUACUAGUUCACAUGUAUAAGUCUCUAACUCCUCAACAAUAAAAACCAGAACCAAAUUCUUU